GGUAAAAUGGCUGAAGUUUUAGGCAAUAAAUUGUAAAUUUAUUUAUGGAUUUUAAUUCUUUUACUA
rnacentral:tRNA from 1 species